rnacentral:rRNA from 1 species
GACGAACGCUGGCGGCGUGCUUAACACAUGCAAGUCGAACGGAAAGGCCCUGCUUUUGUUGGGUGCUCGAGUGGCGAACGGGUGAGUAACACGUGAGUAACCUGCCCUUGACUUUGGGAUAACUUCAGGAAACUGGGGCUAAUACCGGAUAGGAGCUCCUGCUGCAUGGUGGGGGUUGGAAAGUUUCGGCGGUUGGGGAUGGACUCGCGGCUUAUCAGCUUGUUGGUGGGGUAGUGGCUUACCAAGGCUUUGACGGGUAGCCGGCCUGAGAGGGUGACCGGCCACAUUGGGACUGAGAGACGGCCCAGACUCCUACGGGAGGCAGCAGUGGGGAAUAUUGCACAAUGGGCGGAAGCCUGAUGCAGCAACGCCGCGUGCGGGAUGACGGCCUUCGGGUUGUAAACCGAUUUCGCCUGUGACGAAGAGUGAGUGACGGUAAUGGGUAAAGAAGCAACGGCUAACUACGUG